CAGGUUUGAUCCUGGCUCAGGAUGAACGCUAGCGGCAGGCCUAACACAUGCAAGUCAAGGGGCAGCACGGUGUAGCAAUACACUGGUGGCGACCGGCGCACGGGUGCGUAACGCGUAUGCAACCUACCCAUAACAGGGGGAUAACACUGAGAAAUUGGUACUAAUACCCCAUAACAUCAGGACCGGCAUCGGUUCUGGUUGAAAACUCCGGUGGUUAUGGAUGGGCAUGCGUUGUAUUAGCUGGUUGGUGAGG
rnacentral:rRNA from 1 species